AUGACAACAGUGGAUCUGAAAAAUCUUGGGUACACUGACAAACCAUUCGUCCUAGCCAAUGAUGUGGCACAGGUUAUCUAUGUGAAGGACAUGUCUACCAAACCGAGAAAAAGAAAAGAUAAGGAAGCGAAUACAUCAUACGAUGAGCCAAAGCGCCACAUAGUUCUUUCAGGAAAAAGGGACAUCCUGGGAGUGGACGGCAAGACAGACAUGUCUGAAGAUUAUGAAAAGUUUCAUGAAAUUUCUCCCUUCAAUGUCAAGGAUGACCCAAGCAUCCUGAUAAACAAUGAAGAUUAUCCAUGGUUACGGCGCAAUAAGCAAAUGACACAAGCGAAGAAAAAGUGA
rnacentral:rRNA from 1 species